rfam:Danio rerio chromosome 4, GRCz11 reference primary assembly.
GCAUUGGUGGUUCAGUGGUAGAAUUCUCGCCUCCCACGUGGGAGACCCUGGUCUGAUUCCCGGCCAAUGCA